UACGUAGGUGACAAGCGUUGUCCGGAUUUACUGGGCGUAAAGAGCGCGCAGGCGGUCGAUCAAGUCGAGUGUGAAAGCCCCCGGCUCAACUGGGGAGGGUCAUUCGAUACUGAUCGACUCGAAGGCAGGAGAGGGUAGUGGAAUUCCCGGUGUAGUGGUGAAAUGCGUAGAUAUCGGGAGGAACACCAGUGGCGAAGGCGACUACCUGGAGCUUUGCUGACGCUGAUGCGCGAAAGCGUGGGGAGCGAUCCGG
rnacentral:rRNA from 1 species